rnacentral:rRNA from 1 species
CUCGAAAGAGAACCGGCGCACAGGUGCUGCAUGGCUGUCGUCAGCUCGUGUCGUGAGAUGUUGGGUUAAGUCCCGCAACGAGCGCAACCCUUGUCCUUAGUUGCUACGCAAGAGCACUCUAAGGAGACUGCCGGUGACAAACCGGAGGAAGGUGGGGAUGACGUCAAGUCCUCAUGGCCCUUAUGGGUAGGGCUUCACACGUCAUACAAUGGUCGGAACAGAGGGUUGCCAACCCGCGAGGGGGAGCUAAUCCCAGAAAACCGAUCGUAGUCCGGAUUGCACUCUGCAACUCGAGUGCAUGAAGCUGGAAUCGCUAGUAAUCGCGGAUCAGCAUGCCGCGGUGAAUACG